rnacentral:lncRNA from 1 species
UUUUUUUUUUAAGGUGGGCCCCACAAAAGGACCCUUGGAACCCGGAGAGGGCUCCAAGGGGUUCCCCUUUCAUGUUUGUAUAGAAGAUAGAUAGAUGAAUAAAAUAAUCUGUAUAUAUAUUUUUUUCUAAAAAAUUGAAAUAAAAUGUGAUUUUUUUUUGGAGUUUAAGGUUAUUAUUCAUGAAUAAUUCGCGACCGCUCAAUUACCUAUAAAUUAAUAUCAUGAAUUGGGAGUUUGUCACGCCCCGGAUUACUCGUUUCCCCGGGCUCGCUAACAGACCCGCCGUAUACAUAGAAAUUUUUCUCGUAUACGAAGCGAAAUAGUAGAAGUACCUAUAAUCAUACAAUACUACAAACAGUAGUAUAGAGCAGCUAGGAAAGUAAACCAUAUAUAUAAACUGUGGUUCACUGCAUACAUGUUAUCCAGGGUAUACAAAAACUCGCUCUGGCGAGAUACAACAACUGUAUGUAAAGACCCAAAAACUACAACUGCUUGUAGUUGGUGCUCCUCUAGCUCUGCGACUCGUCUGGAAGGGCUGUAACUCACAACGCCCUUGCCACGAUCAGUCUCGGUAGAAGCAGCAGCCGGAACAGAAGGCUUUGCAAAAACAGGGUAACAAUUGGGUGUGAGAACUACUACAAAAAGAAGUAGUACUCAGUGGGUGCCGCCCUCGAACUCAUCGGUCCACCCACUAAGUCUACAGGGAUAAGCAAGACUAGUAAAGAAAGCUGGAACAAAUCUACAACUAAAUAUCGCUAUACUAUCAUGCUCUAACUCUAACCCUCUGUAGAACAAUGUCAACUCAGACCCAAUCUCAAAUAAGAACUGUAAUCAUACCCGUCUCUGGGACUGUGAACACACCUGUCCCGCCCGGUUGCGACUAUAUAGCUACCUCUACACUAACCAGUCCGUGGAGAGCAAGUCCAACCUGCACGAACGACACCAACGCAAAAGAACAGCGCCCGUCUUCGGAGUGGCACCCGUGGGACUACCCAACCGAGUAUGCAGCAUAUCUCUGUCGAGCUCAAUCAAGCUCUAACAAGCCAAAGUCAAGUAGAUAGGGUCAAAAUAGGUCUAGAAACCAAACCCAGUGCCCUCGGCACAAUCUGAGACUAAAAACAGAAAUCUAGAUCCACCGUCAACCCCGACGGCACCCGACAUCCCGGAACAGCUUAGACUCCACUGUAAAAUCAAGCUCAGCGUCUCAGUAUGAGCGUAAAUACAUUUUAAACUACUCCGAGUACCGACCGCGCUGAAACAACGGCGAUAUAAUCAAAACACGGCUCCUAGAGCUAAAUCAGGUAGUAGAAUCAUAUGACGGGUCAAAAUGCUAGUUUUCUCCUAAAUCAAAAUUUCAAGUCCAACAUGUAUAAUUUAUUAACUCAUUCAGCAUGCUUUACAAUUCAGAUUACAACCCAAAGCUAAUGGAUGAAUUCAAUCAAACUGAAUAGUAGACAAAAAUGGAAAUCAUACACGUCGACUAUAUAUGCACUUAGGAGUAACCCGAUGAAAACCCACCUCAAAUGCUCUUUCCUGGCAGCAAGGAGGUCUUGAAACUACUGUGAGACUCAGCCGAAAUCACACCAAAUCAGCAACUGGAAUACUUGAAGGAUCUAGCGUUGAAAUCUACAAAAAUCCAAUAAUUCAGCACUUAAGCUUAAAUUAACCCAACUCCAAUGUCCAAACUCACCUAAUCACAUCCAAAUCUGGUGAGAAGGGUCUCAAAUCCAGUGAAGUAUACUGAGAUAUCUAACUCAGGUCCAAACUUUCCCUACUUCCAAAGAUAGCAUCAAGAAAACAAAAAAAAAAAAGAUUUUCAGCUCAAAGUCACCAGCAGUCCAGAAAAAUAUGGAAUCGACCAAGCUCACCUCAACCAAAAUCUACAAUUCUAGGCUUUGUGCAUUCCUCUGAAAGUCUAGAAUCCAUCAAACCAAGUUUCACUACAAUCCGACCUUCUUACGUCACACACGAGGCAAAACACCGAAGGUCGUCGCUGGAAAACUGCAGAAUCAGCACUCCUCAAGCUAAAUUUGUGGACCUUUGAUGCAAUUUGAGUGAAUGGGAGGGUUAGGAUGCUAAAGUGGACUUCUCUAUGAAGAACAGAUGAAAAGAGCUCACUGUGGUCGAACACCACCUAUUUAUAGCGUGUUAGAACAGUCCAAUAAGCCUCAGGAACAACAGCUGCAAACCUGCAAUUCUGCAGAAACGGGUACUUUUGGGUGCCCAAAACCCUUCUCUGGGCGUCCGAAACCUCCAGACUAUACACGUGCUCACCUUCGGGUCCUCCGCCUGCGAUGUGCUGCGCCCAUAACCGGCUCCGGCGGACCUCACCUACCACCAACCACGUGUCAGCGCAAACGAUAUUUCCAAAGUGGAUUUUCGGACCCACAUCCGGGCGCCUGAAACACAGAUCCGAAUUGGCUUCCAGUUCUGUUCAGUUAUGCAUUGAACUUCUGGGCGGCCCAAACCCUGUUCUGGGCACCCUGUGACACCCCAAUAAUCCCACAUUGGAUGGGAAUGGGUUGUCAUUGGGUUUAUAAGAGACUUAGACACUAAUAAUAAUAACUGGGCUUAAGCAUUUUGGGCCGGUGAUUGGGCCCAACGAGUUAUUGUUGCUAGUGGGCUGGAUCGUUACAUUUGGUAUCAGAGCCGGUUCACCAGCUAGACAUGUGUGGCGAGUCUCGGCUGAGCAAGGGUCUGGAUGACGGGCUAGCGAGAUGAGUCUCACAUCGUCUGGUGAUCUUGGGCUAUGUGUGUGAUUGGACUGACGAGGACGUCAGGGCCUUAACGGGGGGAGUCUGUGACAUCCCAAUAAUCCCACAUUGGAUGGGAAUGGGGUUGUCAUUGGGUUUAUAAGAGACUUAGACACUAAUAAUAAUAACUGGGCUUAAGCAUUUUGGGCCGGUGAUUGGGCCCAACGAGUUAUUGUUGCUAGUGGGCUGGGUCGUUACACACCCGAAUCUGGCAAAACUUCAGUUUUGCUUAUUUGAGUGCGCCGAGUCUAUUUCUGCAUCCAUUUCGUGCAGAAUUGAUUCCGACUCAGUCCGACACUCUCCAUAUGUGCCGACUAGUCACUAACACUGAAGUCAAUCCUAUCCAAAGCUCUAGAACACUACAGAGUUGGAAGCUAUGUGGCGGGCAGAGCGGGAGCAGGAGGGGGAACGAACUGGUGGGGUUGGGGAUGUGUGGGGCCAACUAGAAGUAGGUCAUUUUUUAAAAAUUUCAUUUUAAUUUUUUCUUUCAUUUAGACUAUAAGGGUGUGUUUGGUUCAAAGUCGGAAUCGGUAUCAAAAUUGGAAUGCGAAUAAGCUGGAAGUGAAAUUGGAAUGAUUCAAUCUCAUUCUAUUUGGUUUGCCAUUUGAAUCGGAAUCGGAAUGAACCACUUUCAUUGUCGGUGUUUGAUUUAGAUAGAUAUUAGAAACGUAAUUAAAUUAAUAUACCAAUUUUAUCGUUAUAAUAUAUUAGUUUAAAUUCAAACUAAAAUUAAAUAUUAAAAAUUUACGUCAAAAUUUUAAAAUAAUAUCAAAAUUUUAAAUAUAUAUUUUUAAAAAACUAAAAUUUAAAAUUGAAUGGAUAAUUCAAAACAUAAAACUAAAUUUUGAUUUGUUCAAAUUCAAACAUAAAAAUAAGAUUACAUUUCAAUUUGAAAUUGAAUAGAUUUAAUUAUAAUUUUACACUAAUAAUUUGAAUUAAAACUUUAGACUUUAUUAAUUUAUAAUAGAUUCAAAAUGCUUGAUUGAAUUAUUAAUUUUUACUUUUAAGUUCAAAAAAGAUUUAAAAAUUUUAUAAUAUAAUUUAAACUAAAACUUUGUUUAACAAAUAACACUAAAAAAAAUAAAAUUAUCCAACGAAAUCCAUUCCGUGAUGUCAAAUAUUUUCAAUAUUCGGUCUAGGCCGAAUACGAAAAAAAGAGUAAUGGGAUCCCCUUCACGUCGAAAUCGAAAUCGGAAUUAAAAAUCCACAAUAGCAAAUACGAACAAACGGAUUCAUCUAUUCAGAUUCCGAUUCCAUGGUGAAAAAUGGACAAAUACGCCCUAAAGUUAGAUUUUUUUUUUUUAAUCCAAUUAAAUUUUUUCCUCUUUUAUUAUAAAAAUUAAAAUAUAUAAAUAUUUAUACAUACUUUUAAAUAGUUUAGAUUAUAUUACUAAAUAUAAAUUUUAGUUUUAUAAUAUUAAUCAAUUACAUAUAGAUUGUAUACUGAAAAAUAAAAGAAAAAUUGAUGAAGUUUAAGCUAAUUAUUUAUUUUAAUAAAUUUAGUUACAAAGAAUACGUAAUAAAGCAUAGUAACUAAAUUUGUAAAGUUAAAAGAAACAUUCAAAUUUUGAAGUAAAAGUAUCAUUGAUUGAUUUAAAUCUAAUAUUAAAAUUUAUUAGAUAGCUUAACGUAUUCUUUUUAUGAAUAAAAUUACUGAUUGAACAAAACCGAUUAUUGCUCAACUCUGUGUAGUGUUUCGGGAGUUUGGUAUCGGAUUGGCUACAGUAUUAGUGACUAGUCGACACAUCUGGAGAGUGUCGGACUGAGUCGGAAUUGUUUUUGCACGAAAUGGAUGCAGAAAUAGACUUGGUGUACUUAAAUAAGCAAAACUGGAGUUUUGUUAGUUUCGGGCACCCAGAACCUGAUUUGGGUAGCCCAAAUCUUGAGUGAAGAAUUGAACUGAAACUGGAAGUCAAUUCGGAUCCUGUGUUUUGGGCGCCCAGAAGUGAGCCUGAAUAUUCACCAUGUGUUUGAUGUGGGUGUUGACACGUGUAGGGUGGUAUGUGAGAAUCACCGGACCAGGUUACGGGCGCAACUUAUCGCAGGCGGAGGAACCAAGAUGGAGUUUUGUAUUGGCUAGGAGUUUCGGACGCCCAGAAGUGGGUUUCGCGCGCCCGAAAGUGCAGAUUUCUGCAGGAACAGCAGGUUAGUGUUCUUUGUUCCUGAGGCUUAUCAGACCCUUCCCCCUCCUUAUAAAAGCAUGGGGAUGACCCCUGAGCUGGUUUUUCACCCUCUUUCACAGUGAAGCCUCUAUUUUGCAUUUUAGUCCCUCUAAACCCUCCAAAUUCCACAAUUUCACCUAGAGGACUGCAGUUUCAGCAGAUUUCCAGCAGCGAUUUUCGGCGUUUUGGUUCGUGUGCGACGUAGGAAGCUCCGAUUGCUGCGAAACUUGGUUUAGUGGUUAGUAGACUUCUUGGAGGUUUCAUGGAGCCUAUUUUUACAGCAUUUGAUUGAGAUUUAUAUGGUCAAUUUAAUGUUUUUCUGAGCUGUUGUCAUGAUUGAGCUGAAAUUGGAAUUUUUGUGAUUUUCUUGGAUCAAUUCUUGGAGGAAGCUGGAAUUUCGACCUGAGGAUAUUGUUCCAUCAUGCUCCAUUGGUUUUGGGACCUUUCUUCACCUAAAUUAAGCUUUGGAAGGUGAGUUUGACAUUGAGAUUUUGGUGAAAUUAAGCUUAAGUGCUGAAAUUUAGAGUUUUGAUGGAAACCUUUCGAGUUUUGUGCUUUGAUCCUUAGAGAGGUCUUGCUGGGUUGUUGCUGAUCUUAGCAUGGUGAUUCCAGUGGUUACUUGCUGUUGUCGAGCUCGUGUUAGAGGUGGGUUAAUGAUAUGCUUACCGGAAUUUUCGGAUUUUGCCUCCUAAGCCUAUUUGUAACGGCAUGUAUUUUCCGCUUUGUAUAGUAUGUUUAGUAGCUCGAUUCAUUGAUUUACUUUGUUAUUAAAUCUGAAUUGAAGCUUAGAAUAUUCGCUAAAUUAUACAUGUUGGAUUUGGAAUUGACUUAGGAGAAAACUAUCGAUUCUACACCGUCAUUUUCUGAAACUACUAGAUUUAUCUAUAGGAGCAGUAAUUUGUUUGUAUCGCCGCAGUUUGUGGGCAGUGGAUACCCAGGAUAGUGUAGAAUAAAUUUACGCUCGUGUUAGGAUGCCGAGUUUAUUUUUAUAGUAGUGUAUAGACUGUUCCGAACUGUCGUGUGCCGUUAUGGUUGAUGGUGGACCCAGUUUGCAGUUUUUGCAUCGAAUUGUGCUGAGGGCAUGUAGAUUAUGGUUGUAG